GCCUGAGUAGCUCAGUGGUAGAGCAGCCGCCUUGUAAGCGGCAGGUCGGGGGUUCGAAUCCCUUCUCAGGCUCUA
rnacentral:tRNA from 1 species